ensembl:lncRNA
GGAGCAGACACAGAUGCAGAAACAAAGGAAAAAAGCUGCUUACCUUUGGAAGGCCUCAGGGCAGGACUGGGAUUGGUGUCCUCUUUGCUUCUGCACCAAGACAAUGAAAAGAGUCCAGUGGACAGCCCUGAGCUCCCCACGGCCUCCAGGGACAAUGGGAGGAGUCCAGCGGACAGCCCUGACCUCCGUGCAGCCUCCAGGGGAGCCCUGAAGAAGAGGGCAGCACUGGGACUGAUGUCCUGUCAGCUGCUGUGCCGGGACAAUGGGAGGAGCCCAGCAGACGGCACCGAGCUCCUGCAGCCUCCAGGCAGCACCAGAGAAGGUCCAGAGGCAGCUUCCAUUGGAGAAGCAGAAGACUUUGGUUUGGACAGGAAGAAGGACUCGCGUUCAGCAUGAAGGUCCAUUCCAGCUGCUCCACUGGGACUUUUGUGUCAAACCAGGACAAGAAGCAAUUCAAAAGGACAGUACCAAAUUGUAACGAUAAUAAAGACCUAAAGCUCUUUUCUAAAGCCAAAGCAGUCAGCGCCUCUCCACUGUCAGCACUCCUAAGUCUGCCCUGGGCCUGCCGGGUCCCCUCCGCUCUCCCCAGAGGGAACGGCUCUGCCCCGCGGGGUGAGGCCCAGCACAGGCCUCAGCCCCGGGGAGGGACUCGGGCAUACGG